rnacentral:tmRNA from 1 species
GGGGGCGUACUGGUUUCGACUUGGGAGAUACGCCAGAGGCGGCAUGCCGAGGAUGGUUCGUUGGCCUCGUAAAAAAUCGAACCAAAAAAUAAAAGCUACUGAAGAAUUAGCUCUCGCGGCUUAAUGCCACGACGUUCACUGCUGGACACCUGCUACGGUGGAUGAACGCUACAGCAGGUUAGAUCAAAUGCGGAGACUGCGCGCGGUUGGUCGAAAAAUUUCAUGCAGACUAGGCAGUGCGAAUCGUGUCAGAGCGUAAUCGCAUAGCAGAAAACUCUCCUUUGACUAAGCAUGUAGUCGCGGCUGGUUGGUUUGCCAAGGACGCGGGUUCAACUCCCGCCGCCUCCACCA